rnacentral:rRNA from 1 species
AUUGAACGCUGGCGGCAGGCCUAACACAUGCAAGUCGGGCGAGGGGCGGACGGGUGUGUAAUGUAUGGGGAUCUGCCUGAUGGCGGGGGAUAACUACUGGAAACUGUAUCUAAUACCGCAUACCCUCAUGUGACCCCAUAUGGGAUUCGCUAGUAGGUGGGGUAAAGGCUCACCGAGGCGACGAUCUCUAGCUGGUCUGAGAGGAUGAUCAGCCACACUGGGACUGAGACACGGCCCAGACUCCUACGGGAGGCAGCAGUGGGGAAUAUUGCACAAUGGGCGCAACCCUGACGCAGCCAUGCCGCGUGAAUGAAGAAGGCCUUCGGGUUGUAAAGUGCUUUCGGUAGCGAGGCGUUAACUACAGAAGAAGCACCGGCUAACUCCGUGCCAGCAGCCGCGGUAAUAC